CUUCCUCUUUUUCUUUGUGCUAACUUGCUUUCUGUAGGAAGACAAAUCUUUAGUUUUCUUUUAGCACGUAUGAGCUUCAAUAUCAGUAAUAAGAGAGUCCCGGUUUGUCUGAACUGUUACCACCAAAGCAGAGACCUCAGCUGGAACACACCUGGACUGAGGUUUGAUAAUAGCUUAUCAAUUUGCUCUAGAAGUCCAGCUAAUCAUCAUAUCAUGUUGACAGUCAACAUCUUCCAUAGACUCUGAUGGGAAAAUCAAGCAAUGAACUGAGCAGCAGAUGUUGGUGGCAUAAAAAAUCAAUUUGAAGUUCUUCCUAUGUGGAUGUAUUUCACAAUGUCAUCACAAUUUUUUGGUGCACGCUUUUCCUUCAAAAACUAACAGAAUCUGAACAUGCUUUCACGCAUUUUGGUGGUCCAUGAAAAGAAAAACAAUGUGCAGCUUAUAUGACCACAAAAGGGAAUGGGAAAGACUGAAGCAAGUGAAUCUUUUGUUAAAAGCAUCAGUGAAAUGUUGUAUCUGGGAGGACUUGCUGUUUUUUAGGUAAACAACAAGGAAAGCAAGAUUAGAAAAAUGGUUGCAUUAACAGCU